rnacentral:tRNA from 1 species
AAAGUUUUAAGUUAAUUUAAACUAUAAAUUUUCAAAAUUUACAAUAUAAAUUUUUAUAAAUUUUA